rnacentral:rRNA from 1 species
CAACUAGCCCUGAAAAUGGAUGGCGCUCUAGCGUCGUGCCUAUACCGGGCCGUCAACGGCAAAGCGGGCCGCUGCCCGGUCGGCCCCGGCCGGCCGGCUCGGCCGUCAAGCCUUGACGAGUAGGAGGCGCGCGGCGGUGUGCGCAGAAGGGUCUGGGCGCGAGCCCGCCUGGAGCCGCCGUCGGUGCAGAUCUUGGUGGUAGUAGCAAAUACUCUAGCGAGGGCCUGGAGGGCUGAUGUGGAGAAGGGUUUCUUGUGAACAGCCGUUGCACAAGAGUCAGUCGACCCUAAGCCCUAGGAGAAAUCCGAUGUCGAUGGGCAGCAAUCAGUGUGGUGUGGCAGGCGGCGGCCGUAAGAAAGCCGCUUCCGCUCGCUCGCCGAACGCUCCCGUCGGGCGAAAGGGAAUCCGGUUCCUAUUCCGGAACCCGGCCGCGGAACCGUCACUUCGCGGGCACUCGCCUGCGAGCGCUCGUCGGGGUAACCCAAAAUGACCCGUAGACGCCGGCGGGAGGUCUGGGAAGAGUUGUCUUUUCUUUAUAAGCGUUCGAGUUCCCUGGAAUCCUAUAGCAGGGAGAUAGGGUUUGGAACGCGAAGAGCACCGCAGUUGCGGCGGUGUCCGGACCUUCCCCCCGGACCUUGAAAAUACGGGUGAGGGCUACGCGGAAAUGUCGCGCCGGCUCGUA